rnacentral:rRNA from 1 species
UACGGAGGGGGCUAGCGUUGUUCGGAAUUACUGGGCGUAAAGCGCACGUAGGCGGCUUUGUAAGUUAGAGGUGAAAGCCCGGAGCUCAACUCCGGAAUUGCCUUUAAGACUGCAUCGCUUGAAUCAUGGAGAGGUGAGUGGAAUUCCGAGUGUAGAGGUGAAAUUCGUAGAUAUUCGGAAGAACACCAGUGGCGAAGGCGGCCUGCUGGGCAGUUUAGCUGACACUGAGGCGCGACAGCGUGGGAGCAACAGG